UUUCGCAAUGCCCGAAAGGGUGACGGUGCGACGCCGCGUGGGUGACGAAGGCCUUCGGGUUGUAAAGCCCUGUCGAGGUGGGAAGAACCCCCCACUGGUGAAUAGCCUCUGGGGCUGACGGUACCACCACAGGAAGCUCCGGCCAACUCCGUGCCAGCAGCCGCGGUAACACGGGGGGAGCAACCGUUGUUCGGAAUCAUUGGGCGUAAAGGGCAAGUAGGCGGUUCGUUAAGUCGGGUGUGAAAUCCCUCCGCUCAACGGAGGAACUGCAUUCGAGACUGGCGGGCUUGAGGGGUGGAGAAGCGAGCGGAAUUCUCGGUGUAGCGGUGGAAUGCGUAGAUAUCGAGAAGAACUCCAAUGGCGAAGGCAGCUCGCUAGACACCCCCUGACGCUGAACUGCGAAAGCCAGGGGAGCAAACGGGAUUAGAUACCCCGGUAGUCCUGGCCGUAAACGAUGGGCACUAAGUAGAGGGGUUUUAAUCUC
rnacentral:rRNA from 1 species